rnacentral:rRNA from 1 species
UACGUAAGGUGCAAGCGUUAAUCGGAAUUACUGGGCGUAAAGCGUGCGCAGGCGGUUGUGUAAGUCAGAUGUGAAAUCCCCGGGCUCAACCUGGGAAUUGCAUUUGAGACUGCACGGCUAGAGUGUGUCAGAGGGGGGUAGAAUUCCACGUGUAGCAGUGAAAUGCGUAGAUAUGUGGAGGAAUACCGAUGGCGAAGGCAGCCCCCUGGACCUGUACUGACGCUCAUGCACGAAAGCGUGGGGAGCAAACAGG